ACUAAUAAGAACUAAGUUGGCUUGUUUUCCAUUAGUUUGUAAACAUAGUACAGUAGUAUCUUUGUUUUUAUGCCUUUUACAUUCCCUGAGCCAGUGUUGUGUAACCCAGCCAAGGUUAUACAAUUAUAGAAUUAUUCUGGAAAUUAUUUAAUUUGACAUAUAGGGCAAAUAUUAUAAUGACUUUAUUAUUAUUCUUUCUUAUUGUAUUUUAGUUUACUUGUAUUUUUCGUUAUUAUGGUCUUGAUUGAGAUUUGAGCCAAUAGGAAGGCAAAGGGGAGCGGAGGUCCCGCCUCCGUGUAACAUUUCUUUCGGCAGAUACCUGUUUUCUUUUUUUCCUAAUUGAGUCACGUAGAUGUCACAACAUUGGAGAAGUGUCUGUUUAUAUUUUUUAUAUAUCAAACUGAAACUUAGUAGUAAACCUAGUAUACUGCUGCAUAAUCUUUUUUUAUUUUGUGUAGCAAGAACGGAUUUUGUGAACAGUCUGCUGCAGAGGAUUGACACCAGACAGAAGAGACACCAGCAGAGCUCCUGGAACCCCUUUUCCUUGAAUCACUUGAUCAAAAUUUCCCUAAUCAGGGAAUGGCAAGCCACCCAAUUGCAUACAGAAAUUUGAACGUGUCCCUCAGGAUACCCGCCUAUGCGGCAGGACUGACACAACUUGUGGGUAGGAUUUGAAACAGAAAGAACCCUUUUGUCAUGGAAGGAAACAGAGAUGAGAUUAACAUGGAAUUAAGGAUUGAAGAAAUUGUUGAAAUUGGGAGCACUGAUCUGUCAUCAGGUCACAAGUGGUAGUGAAUAUGUUCCAUCCAGUGAGUUCUGACUCUGAUGCCAUCUAUCUGGACCCUGACAGUACUUGUGAAGCAAAGACUCAGAAAAAGCCCAAAAGUCCAUAAAUGAAGAUGGUAGGUCAGACAACGUGAAAGUGAAUGUUAAAAAGUGCACAAAAAAGAAGGAGGGAAGAGAAAGUGAGAUAAGAAAAACUUUUUUGUAUACUGUGGUACAGAGCAAAGCAAACUGGGAAGACAUCUUGAGAGAAAAUAUGCAAAAGAAACUGAAGUAGAAAAAGCAUUAUCAAAAACUAAGGGGACAAAGGCACGACAGAUUAUUUGGACAACUACGAAAUAAAGGGAAUUUCCACUAUAGUACCGAAAUCAAGACUACCUGCCAUGUCAGUAUUGCCAUGGGUUUUUUAAAAGAAAGGAAUUGAAGAAGCAUAACCUAGUCCUUUUCUGCAUUUUUGAAACAGACAACAUUUCAAGGAAACCAAAGAGAGUCCAAGCUGUAGCAUCUCGAAGUACACCAUGUAAACCUGCCGUCUCUGAAGGGUGUAAAUGCAUCGUUCUGAGCAUGCAUCGAGAUGACCUCUCUAAUCAGGUGAAGUCAGACACUCUCAUCUAUAAAUAUGGAGAAAUGAUGUUUGAGCUCCAUGGACAGGACAAAUCGCAGCACAAUUACAUCAGUCAGAAAAUGCGGGAGUUGGGGAGGUUUAUGCUGGCAGUAAAGAAGCUUAACCCUGCUGUACAACGUCUAGUGGAUGUUUGUGUGCCAACAAGAUUUCAGCUAGCAGUAUCGGCAGCAAAGGAAGCAAGUGGGUUUGAUCCAUCAAAAAACAGAUUAGACACCCCAUCUAUAGCUUGUAAAAUUGGGGACACCCUCAAGAAAGUCUGUGAAAUUGUGAUAGGUGAGAGUCUGAUGAAGGAAGACUGUGAGGGAAGACUGUGAGGCAGGACAGAAGGCCAAGAAUUUCAUCAGGUUGCUUGACUCUGACUGGAACACAUUUGUCUCAAAGCGAGCUAGAACCAACCUUGAACAAAACAAAUGGAACAAAGCUGAUGUUCUUCCACCGACUGAAGAUGUUGUCAGGUUGCACAAACACCUCAAAAUUUUGGAAGAUCAGUCAAAAGAACAAUUAACUAAGAGCUCAGAUCCUGUGGCAUGGAGAAAUCUUUCAGAAAGUGUUCUAGCGCAAAUAAUAUUGUUUAACAGGAGACGAGAAGGUGAAGCUGGAAAGCUGUUAGUAGAAACAUACCAGAAAUAAAACAUAGCUCCACUGAAUCCUGAGGUCUUGCAGAAUUUAUCCAAGCUAGAACAAGAUUUUGCCACCACUGCCCCAAACAUACACAAAUCUGAUACGUCCAUAAAUCAGUGGAACACUAUUGGUGUUUCUAUAACACCGCAGUACAAGCAGAAAACACAAAUUUUUACCCUCUCCAAGUUACUGAAGGUGCCAGAAUCCCAGUCAGAUACUGAUAUUUGGAGCACUAAAUGAUGUACUGUAGUUACUGUUGCAACCCAACUAUGUAUUAUUCGAAUUCCUUAUAAAGUCCUUUUCUACUACUUCAAAAGUGUAUGUCAAUGAUGUUUGGACAGCUAAAGUCCAGAUUUAUGUCUAAACCAUCUCUGAAUCAUUCCACAAUGGACUUGUGAUAUUGUAGUGGCUUGUGGAGGGAGUUUUGCACAAUGUGAAUGUACUACAUCAGGAAGGUAUGCUAAGAUUGUAGGUAGACCAGUGAGAAGAUACAAUAAGAGCUUAAUUGAAGGUGGAGUAGGGAGGGCCAUGUGACUCUGGACAAUUUAAUUUUAGUGUACGGUUAAACACAUUUUUUCCGGGUCAUCUUAUUCAGCCUGUGGAAAAGAAAAAAAUCCUUAAUUAAAACUUGAGCAAAGGAGAAUAUUAAACAUUUAAUGCUUUAUUCAACUACUUACUUCUUUCUUUCUCCAUUUGCUUAAUUUCCAGCUCCAGUUUUCUCAUUUUCAGUCUGGUCUGCUUUCCUCAGUUCAAUUUCUUGGACCAAAUAUUUUUUUUUAGAAAUGUCUUGAACAUCUGUGUCCUUUAACAGAAAUAAGCACAAGGUAUGCUAUGUUUGUGGUUAAAUGUACAAGUACCAUUCACCUGUUCAUCCUUUACACAUGAAACUCUGCUUGGGUUCAUGAGGUGCACAAACACUGAAGAUUAGUGUUAACAAUCCUUACAUAUGGCUCAGAGAACACGGAGUCCAUCUCCUCAUUCUCUUUAUGGAGCCUAGAUGGUCCAGCCUCACUCUACAUCUGAAUAUUACUCAGCCUCUGGUCCAUAACCCAGCCUUAGUAUAUUAUAAGACACUAACACCACUUCCAGACCUCAAAUAUUGAUCCCAAGGAGGUGGAAUACAUUAGGCCAGGGGUUCCCAAACUUUUCCAGGGCAAGGCACCCCAAAUGGCAUUAACAUUUCACUGAAGCCCCCUUUUGCAAGAUGUCUUUAAAACACAUUAAAAAUACAGACUUCUGAAUAUCCCCCCCCCCCCGUUUUUU